AUUCCGGUAGCUCAGUUGGUAGAGCAGUGGCCUCUUAAGCCUCAGCGCGUGGGUUCGAGUCCCACCUGGAAUAC
rnacentral:tRNA from 7 species